GAUGAACGCUGGCGGCGUGCCUAAUACAUGCAAGUCGAGCGAACAGACGAGGAGCUUGCUCCUCUGACGUUAGCGGCGGACGGGUGAGUAACACGUGGAUAACCUACCUAUAAGACUGGGAUAACUUCGGGAAACCGGAGCUAAUACCGGAUAACAUGUUGAACCGCAUGGUUCAACAGUGAAAGACGGUCUUGCUGUCACUUAUAGAUGGAUCCGCGCCGCAUUAGCUAGUUGGUGAGGUAACGGCUUACCAAGGCAACGAUGCGUAGCCGACCUGAGAGGGUGAUCGGCCACACUGGAACUGAGACACGGUCCAGACUCCUACGGGAGGCAGCAGUAGGGAAUCUUCCGCAAUGGGCGAAAGCCUGACGGAGCAACGCCGCGUGAGUGAAGAAGGACUUCGGAUCGUAAAACUCUGUUAUUAGGGAAGAACAAAUGUGUAAGUAACUAUGCACGUCUUGACGGUACCUAAUCAGAAAGCCACGGCUAACUACGUG
rnacentral:rRNA from 1 species